CCGGCGACCGGCGCACGGGUGAGUAACACGUAUGCAACCUGCCCGUCUCAGGGGGAUAAUCGUCGGAAACGGCGUCUAACACCCCGUAUGAAGCUGGACGGCAUCGUCUGGUUUUGAAAGAAUAUCGGAGACGGAUGGGCAUGCGGCGCAUUAGCUAGCUGGCGGGGUAACGGCCCACCAAGGCGACGAUGCGUAGGGGUUCUGAGAGGAAGGUCCCCCACACUGGUACUGAGACACGGACCAGACUCCUACGGGAGGCAGCAG
rnacentral:rRNA from 1 species